GACGAACGCUGGCGGCGUGCUUAACACAUGCAAGUCGAACGAUGAAGCCGGAGCUUGCUCUGGUGAAUUAGUGGCGAACGGGUGAGUAACACGUGAGUAACCUGCCCUUGACUCUGGGAUAACUGCGGGAAACUGUAGCUAAUACCGGAUACGACCCUCGGAGGCAUCUCCUGGGGGUGGGAAGAAUUUCGGUCAAGGAUGGACUCGCGGCCUAUCAGCUAGUUGGUGAGGUAAAGGCUCACCAAGGCGACGACGGGUAGCCGGCCUGAGAGGGUGACCGGCCGCACUGGGACUGAGACACGGCCCAGACUCCUACGGGAGGCAGCAGUGGGGAAUAUUGCACAAUGGGCGCAAGCCUGAUGCAGCAACGCCGCGUGAGGGAUGACGGCCUUCGGGUUGUAAACCUCUUUUAGCAGGGAAGAAGCGAAAGUGACGGUACCUGCAGAAAAAGCACUGGCUAACUACGUGCCAGCCGCCGCCGUAA
rnacentral:rRNA from 1 species